AUUGAACGCUGGCGGCAGGCCUAACACAUGCAAGUCGAACGGUAACGGGAAGAAGCUUGCUUCUUUGCCGACGAGUGGCGGACGGGUGAGUAAUGCUUAGGGAUCUGCCUUUGAGUGGGGGACAACAGUUGGAAACGACUGCUAAUACCGCAUAACGCCUACGGGCCAAAGGGGGCUUCGGCUCUCGCUCAGAGAGGAACCUAAGUGAGAUUAGCUAGUUGGUGGGGUAAUGGCUCACCAAGGCGACGAUCUCUAGCUGGUCUGAGAGGAUGAUCAGCCACACUGGAACUGAGACACGGUCCAGACUCCUACGGGAGCAGCAGUGGGGAAUAUUGCACAAUGGGCGCAAGCCUGAUGCAGCCAUGCCGCGUGUAUGAAGAAGGCCUU
rnacentral:rRNA from 1 species